UGUGACUUUGCUUGUGGAAGAAAAUUCCUAAGAGGGUGGGCCCUCCCAGAAUGGCCUGUGAUCCCUUUGCGCAUGCUCAGAGACUCGUCCUGGGCCAAGCCCUCACCCUCUCUUCUUCCAGCCCCGCAAGGCUGUGGCAGGCGAAAUGUCAAGAACUCCCAUGCAGAAUGCAGUGCAAAGAGGGAAAGCCACUUGUCAGACUCUCUUCCUCUGCAGAAAGCUGUGUCCCCAUCAUGGGCUGAAUUGUGUAUUCCAGUUCUCGUGUUAAAGCCCUGUCCCUGGUACCUCAGGAUGUGACUGUAUUGGGAGAAAGGACAUUUAAGGAGGUGAUUAUGGUUGAAUGGGGUCAUCAGCGUGGGCCCUGAUUCCAGAGGACUGGUGUCCUUUUAAGAAGAGGAACAGCCACCAGGGAUGCGAAAGCACAGAGGAAAGGCCAGGUGAGGACAGCACGAGAAGACACUGCCGGCAAGCCAAGGAGUAGCCCUCGGGAGAAACGAAACUUGCGGAUGGUUUGAUCUCGGAUUUCCAGCCUCUAGAACCAUGAGGGAAGAAUGUCUGGUUAAGGCCCUCCCAGCCUGUGUACUUUGUUGGGGCAGCCCUAGCUGACUGAAAUAUAAGGCUGCUCUCUCCUCCCGGCCUGGCUGUCUCCUCACACCCAGAGCCACAGGAGGAGCCUGGGAUGCAGGGCAACACAAGGAGGAAGGGCAGGGGGCACCUAUCCAACACUCCCCUCAGAAUCUUUUCUGUCUACAGUGGGUGCCUGGACAAGCCUAUCUUUGCCAGGAAUAUAAAGGCCUCAAGGGGUGCCAGGAACGCUCAGCCUGAGGGGUCCUAUGGCUGGGAACAGACUAAGGUUAAUUAAUAUUUGGCCUGUGGAUCCAAAGAGAGGGAAAUCUUUUGUGUCCACGGGAGGGGGUGUGUAGUAGAAGGAAGAAGCUUAACCCUGAAUUCCACCCUGAGACCUGUCACUUUCCUAGUCCACACUCACCUGGCUCCAGGUUCCCUGCAUACAGAGCUUAGGUUACUGGUAGGUCAGCCCUUCUCAUGCUGAAAUGUGAUGUGACUCACACAAGUUUUGUGUUAAAAUGUAGAUCUGAUUGAGUAGGUCUAUGUGGGGCCCAUGAAUGUGCAUUUCCAACCAGCUCCCAGGAGACACUGAUGCUGCUAGGGGUUCACAUCUGAAUAGCAAGAUGGCAUCUCCAGGCUCAGUCUAAGCAGCCUCUCGGCCCCUCAUCUUAUCUUCUGCUUAACAAGCCUGUAUAGUUCCUGGUUGGUCCAGAUGUUGGGACAGCAGGAGACUGAGGCCAGCAAGAAGAGUAUGGUUGAGGCCAGACCCAUCAGAUCUGGACCAAGAGGCUCCUCACUACUCUGAGACCUCAGAUGAGAGCCUUAACCACCUAGAGACUCAGUUUUGUUUUCUGCAAAAUGGGUCAGUAGACUUACCUCAUGGGGGUUUGUGUGAGUGUUGAGAUAACACAUAUAAAAUGCCUAGAACAGGACCAGAAGCAUUAGAAGUAAAGUAGUCAACAAAUGUUGGGUCCCCUUCUUCUCUUACCUAAACCCAAGAAUCUUACAGUCUGUGGGGAAGUCCUGAUUUGGUGGAGAAAUUUCAAAGAACAAUUUAUAUUUCAUAAGAUAGAACUAAAAUUAUUUUUAGUGUUUUGCUAACUUUAGACAGAAAAGGAAAAAAUGAAUUAUCUAGGAGUCAAAUGAGGAUUUGAUGGUCAGAGACUUUUGGGGCAGAGGUUGAGGGUCUUACCCCAGUAUAGGACAGGAGAUAGGGUAUUGGACUGUACUGAGGGGGGUGAGUGGCUAGAACUGAGGCCCCUGCAUAAAGUCUAGAGUCUCAAAGAGCUGCCCCUUUCCAUUUAGUAGAAACUAACAUACUCAAGAAUUCUGUAAAAAAAUUGCUGUUUAGAAAAGAGGAGAGAGGAAAGUUAUCUAUGAAAAAUUGAAAUGCUAGGUCUAUGUACACACAGAUGUGCAAUCCAAAUUCGUACUACCAGCCUGGAAUGGGAAUUCCAAGUAGAGAAAUAAAAUAAGUGUUCAGGACCAUUAAAGUCCUACAUAUUUAGCAGAGGCAAAUGUGAAAUUAUUGUUGUAGGGAAACUUUUACAACCCAAGGGUCAAGGGAGUCCCACAGAAAAAAACAGCCUCACUGAAGAUGAGCUGACAAUGAGAAUUGAAAACCAACCACCCAAGAAAACGAACCACAAUGAGACAGAGUCCACAGAUGAAAUAGAACUAGCACCUUCAAAAGUGAAAACAGUACAUUCAUCUGAAAAGAACAAUGGUAUAAGCAUAUUUCAAAGUAUUGGAGAGCUAAAAGAAUGAAUGAAAAUCACAAUAAAAAGAUUAGUCAGUGUGGAAAGUGAAAAACAUUGUCCUUGAACAUAAGGACCAGUGGGCAGGAUAAGACACAGAUUACGUACACAGCUGAAGAAAUAGUAAAUUGGAAGGCAGUUCUGAGGAAAUUAAAUAGAACACAGCACAGGAAGGAAAAGAUAUAGAAAGAUCAGCUAAGAGACGUGGGGAGGGGGACUGAACAGAUUCCUUGAAAUGCAAGUUUUAGGAGAAAAUACAGUACAUGAAGUACCAGCAAUACUUGAAAGAUAAUGGCUGAGAAUCUUUCAGAUUUCAAGAAAAAUGCACAUUUUCAUUUAUAGGAAGCACAGGAGUUCUGUGAAGAAUGUAUAAACACAGAACCAUACUAGAUUAAUUAAGACUAGAAAAUAUGAAAGAGAUAGAAAUUCUCCCCUCAAAGAUAAUAUACUGAUGAUAGAUUCUUUACUGCAACAAUUAAUGCCAAAACAAGAGAAUAAUGACAUUUUCAGGAAAGCAGGGCCUAUGGAAGUUUCUCUCUUAGAAAGUUAUCGAUAAGUUCACUACUAAAAGACAGGCUAUAAUAACGUGGAUAUUAAACUCAAGCUAGGAGUUGCCAGGAAUAAUAGAGACUAAAAAAAGGAUGGUAAAAAUAUUGGGAAAUCUGAAAGAUCUUUGACUGGAAAAAAAAAAUAAAACUUUUGUAAGGCUUAAGGACAAGCACAACUAAAAUACUAAAAACAUACAGUAACAUGGUAGGUGAAGAGUAGAAUCAGAAAUGAUGUGUUUCAGUAUCAUCUUGUUCAAGAGGUAAGUAAAAGUAGUGACUAAUUUUAUAUUAAUUAACUUAAGUAUAUAAAAUAAAAUUUUGAGAGUGACUACAAACAUGGAAAUAGAAUGCAAACUUCAAAACCAUUAGAAGGAAAAACAAGAAAACUUAAUCCAUUUGACAGAAGAUAGGAAUAAGAAGUAAGGAAACAGUGAAUAAAAGAACCUGGU
rnacentral:lncRNA from 1 species